UAAAAUCCACCUCCUCGUGGGAUCGACACUCGUCACCAUUAGUCUAUACUACAAUAGAUUCGUGCGCUUGCGAGUACAUUAAAAUUUGCACAACACCCCUCCCCUCUAUAUAAAAAAGUAUGUUUAGUCUCACUAAUAUUGGAGUAGUUGUAUCUACCUCACCAACAUUUAUGUUGAGUUCCUCACAAAGUGAGUUAAACUAUUGUCUUCAAUCUUGAUGGUCAGGGCAUCAACUCACUACUAGAUAACAAGUAUAAUAACCAUGAACCCUCUUUCAAAUACAAGAUGUUUUUUAAGGCAAAUAGGAAGUUAGGAAAGUUAAAAUUAAUAAUUCGUCCUUACCUCUUAUAAGAUUCAAACAUAAGUGGUUAAUAAAAGAAAGAGCAAAUAUUUUCCGACCAUUAAUUUUUCGCCAUCUCACACUAAUUUUUUUUUUCUUUUGCAGAUAUCAACAUGGAGUUUAUAAAUUGCAUUACUUUUUUACUUUUCUAUUAACAUUGUUAGAAGAUCUAAUCUACCGGAAUAUUGAUAAAAUAAAUAUUCUACCCCUGAACAAAAAAAAAAAAAAAAACCUUUUUAACCCUAGCUAAAUAACCUAAAAAAGUUUUCAUUUUUAGUUAUUGGGACCAAUGAGGACUAUAAAAUUAGCUAUAUUAACUCAUCAAACUUAUUAUUUUAAAGAUAUAAAAUCUUCCAAAAUAAGCACCCUAACUAAUUUUAUUUGUAGUUCAUUUACAGCGUAAAAAAAAUAUUCACAUAAUCCAUCCUGAAUG
rnacentral:lncRNA from 1 species